rnacentral:rRNA from 1 species
UUGAACGCUGGCGGAAUGCUUUACACAUGCAAGUCGAGCGGCAGCGCGGGGCAACCUGGCGGCGAGCGGCGAACGGGUGAGUAAUGCAUCGGAACAUGUCCAUGUCGUGGGGGAUAGCCCGGCGAAAGCCGGAUUAAUACCGCAUACGCCCGAGAGGGGAAAGUGGGGGACCGCAAGGCCUCACGCGAUUGGGUUGGCCGAUGUCCGAUUAGCUUGUUGGUGAGGUAAAGGCUUACCAAGGCGAUGAUCGGUAGCUGGUCUGAGAGGAUGAUCCGCCACACUGGGACUGAGACACGGCCCAGACUCCUACGGGAGGCAGCAGUGGGGAAUUUUGGACAAUGGGCGAAAGCCUGAUCCAGCCAUGCCGCGUGCGGGAAGAAGGCCUUCGGGUUGUAAACCGCUUUCAGCCGGAAAGAAAUCGCCACUUCUAAUACGAGUGGUGGAUGACGGUACCGGAAGAAGAAGCACCGGCUAACUACGU